rnacentral:lncRNA from 1 species
GGGUAUGGGACUUUUGAUCAAGAGAUGCAUUUACUUGUGUUUCCUGUACAAAAGCAAUAUUUUAUCAAUCCUCCGACCCAUGUGAUUAAGAUGAUAAACCUAGCAGGCACACAAAUUUUAUUUGUUACUACAAAGUCUAUCAAAAAUAAAGCCCAACCAGUAGGGUCCUAUCAGAAAAAGGCACGCCAAGUAAAGCCAACAUAUAGGCUAGGUAAUAUUGUGUGCUUUCCAGCAAUAUAUUUCUAAUCCCUUCAACCUAAAAAUUUUAAACAAAUAAUAUUUGUAGGUUCAGUUAUGCUUUUUGCAACAACAUUUCUUAAUUUGUAAGUUAAAGUAGUCCCCUUAGAUGGUUUUGUAGUCCCCUCCAUGGUUUGUGAUGAUCUUCGCCUCUACAGGUAGGCUUUUCGGGAGUACUCGUCGGUUAGGUUUAACAGGUUCUCGAGACGUACAUAGUUUGUGUCUCUCUCUUGUUGUGGGUGUGUCUUUUCCUCUGUAAGCUGAUUUUUUUCAGCUCAUUGGACAAUGGCACUAGACGUCCAAAAAAUUAACAAUACAUCAAGACGACUACUGACAUACCCGUGUGAUAUGUAUCUUACGUGAAACUUUUGAGUCAUCAUAACUACAGGUGUUAUUAUUUUUAUUCGUACCACUAGGUAAUCAAUUUUACAGUACUAACUUGGAUCACCCAAUCGGCUUGCCAAAUGCACGGGCAUGAUGCCGUUGUGUGGUGCUGCUUGAAGCGCACGCCCUUUGACUCGCUCUACCACUCAAAGGCGGUUGCUUGCCAUGCCACAAGUAUUGGUUCACGUCGUAGCACACCGUGUAGACCAUCUGCAACCAUGGUGUCAAGCGAUCCAGUGUCACUAUUACCACGUAUUCCACCCCCAUCAACUCAUAUUGAACCGCAACACUCAUGUUAGUCCAGUAUUGCAUGUUGUAUUCCAGUUCCCGGCGCCUUCUAUUCCUAUACCAUGAAAUUUAAAUAGGUACCUAGUAUUUAGGGAAAUCAAGAACACACGAAAUGUGGUUGUUCGAUGCUUCAAUGUAUAGAAAUUAAGUGGUGAGUAAGCUAUUCAUCCUUUGCUCCGGGAAGCCUCUCUCCUUAUAAGAUCCUUUCGAGAUAUGCAGUGACAUUAACUCUCUAGUCCUUCUAACAGAUCAAUAGCUUAGAAUCCCUUGGUUAUGAGCUUUGUCCUUGGGUGGUCGGAGGCUAUGAGAGCUUCAGACAAGCGGUGUGUUUAGUUGCAUUUUCUCUCAGAAAAGAAAAUAUUUUAUCAAUGUUCUGGCCACUCCACCAAGACGAUGCACGUACCAAACACAAGAGUUUUCUUUGUUACUGCAAUGUUGAUAAAAUAUAAACCUCUAGCAUUAAGGUUCUGUCCUCUUAUGAAAAAAAGGUAUGCUAAGUAAAGCCAACACAAGCUAGUUAAUAUUGUGUGGUUUCCAGCAAUAUAUUUCAAAAAUGAUACAAUUCGAGGGUUUGAUUUUUGACCAUGGAAACUGGAAUAUUUUUUAUGGCAAUUUUAGUUGACGCGAGGAUGGAUGUUUAGUUGGCAAAUACAACAUUUUUUUGGCAAAAAAUAAACUCUAGCGGAUUUGAGAUGUCUUAUCAACUAAUUUUGUCAUCCUCAACAAAUAUAAGUUGCCACAAUAAACAAUUGAUUUGUCAUGGUAAAAAAAACAUUCGGAAAUUAUCUACGUCCAUAUAUUUCUAAUCCUCUGAACCUCAAACAUAUAAUAUGUGUAACUUCAGUUAUGCCUUUUGCAAGAAUAUUGCUUAGGGUGUGGCUAGGUCUUAGUCGACUGAGAUUUAACCAAAUCUCAGUCAAGUGACAUAACAUUCAGAAGAGAAAAAUAAAAAAUUGAAAAUAAAAUUUUGCAUGGAUCUCAUGUAAGAUCUUACGGAUAUAGCAGCAACUGAGACAUAACGAAGUCUCAGUCGACUGAGACUUAGCAAUACCGUAUUGCUUAAUUUGUAGGUUCAAGUUUUAAAACCGUGUAUGUGAUUCAGUCUAAGUAAAGAAUAGGUUGUAN